rnacentral:rRNA from 1 species
GAUACCCUGAUAGUCCAUGCCGUAAACGUUGGGCGCUAGGUGUGGGGACUUUCCACGGUUUCCGCGCCGUAGCUAACGCAUAAGCGCCCCGCCUGGGGAGUACGGCCGCAAGGCUAAAACUCAAAGGAAUUGACGGGGGCCCGCACCAGCGGCGGAGCAUGUUGCUUAAUUCGACGCAACGCGAAGAACCUUACCAAGGUUUGACAUCACCCGUGGACUCGCAGAGAUGUGAGGUCAUUUAGUUGGCGGGUGACAGGUGGUGCAUGGCCGUCGUCAGCUCGUGUCGUGAGAUGUUGGGUUAAGUCCCGCAACGAGCGCAACCCUUGUUCCAUGUUGCCAGCACGUAAUGGUGGGGACUCAUGGGAGACUGCCGGGGUCAACUCGGAGGAAGGUGGGGAUGACGUCAAGUCAUCAUGCCCCUUAUGUCUUGGGCUGCAAACAUGCUACAAUGGCCGGUACAAUGGGCGUGCGAUACCGUAAGGUGGAGCGAAUCCCUAAAAGCCGGUCUCAGUUCGGAUUGGGGUCUGCAACUCGACCCCAUGAAGGUGGAGUCGCUAGUAAUCGCGGAUCAGCAACGCCGCGGUGAAUACGUUCCCGGGCCUCGUACACACCGCCCGUCACGUCAUGAAAGUCGGCAACACCCGAAACCUGCGGCCUAACCCCUUGUGGGAGGGAGUGAGUGAAGGUGGG